rnacentral:rRNA from 1 species
UACGUAGGGGGCGAGCGUUGUCCGGAGUACUGGGCGUAAAGCGCACGCAGGCGGUCUGCUAAGUUUGGAGUGACAGUUGGUGGCUUAACUGCCAAAGUGCUUCGAAAACUGACAGACUUGAGGGCUUCAGAGGGACACGAAUUCCGGGUGGAGUGGUGAAAUGCGUAGAGAUCGGGAGGAACACCAGUGGCGAAGGCGGCUACCUGGACCAGCACUGACACUGAGGCACGAAAGCGUGGGGAGCAAACAGG